AUGCUACGUGCAAUUCAGGAAGCAACCAGAAUGGGCUGCUGCAAGGUCGUCUUGGAGACAGACUCAGUUGUAUUAAAGCAGGCGAUCACAAGCAAUGAUUAUGAUGACUCGACACUGGGCGCUCUAUUUAAAGAAAUGAAACGUAUUAUUCAAUACUCUUUUCAAUGUUGUAAGAUAGAUGUAUGCCCAAGGGCCUGUAAUGUAUCAGCACAUGUGUUAGCUGCGUAUGGUGUGAGUCUGGAGCAGGCAAGCUAUCAAAUUUGGCUUGACCCGCUUCCUGAUUAUGUACAAGACUUGGUUGCUGGGGUUUCUCCAGCUCUCUUGAAUUAA
rnacentral:rRNA from 1 species